rnacentral:rRNA from 1 species
CCUACUGGGGGCAGCAGUGGGGAAUAUUGGACAAUGGGGGGAACCCUGAUCCAGCCAUGCCGCGUGUGUGAAGAAGGCCCUCGGGUUGUAAAGCACUUUCAGUGAGGAAGAACGCCUGGUGGUUAAUACCCAUCAGGAAAGACAUCACUCACAGAAGAAGCACCGGCUAACUCCGUGCCAGCAGCCGCGGUAAUACGGAGGGUGCGAGCGUUAAUCGGAAUUACUGGGCGUAAAGCGCGCGUAGGUGGCUUGAUAAGCCGGUUGUGAAAGCCCCGGGCUCAACCUGGGAACGGCAUCCGGAACUGUCAAGCUAGAGUGCAGGAGAGGAAGGUAGAAUUCCCGGUGUAGCGGUGAAAUGCGUAGAGAUCGGGAGGAAUACCAGUGGCGAAGGCGGCCUUCUGGACUGACACUGACACUGAGGUGCGAAAGCGUGGGUAGCAAACAGGAUUAGAUACCCCAGUAGUC